CGCGUAGGUGGAUUAGCAAGUCAGAGGUGAAAACCACAGGCUUAACUUGUGGCCUGCCUUUGAAACUGCUUUUCUUGAGUGCGGAAGAGGAAAGUGGAAUUCCUGGUGUAGCGGUGAAAUGCGUAGAUAUCAGGAAGAACACCGGUAGCGAAAGCGGCUUUCUGGUCCGCAACUGACACUGAGGCGCGAAGGCGUGGGGAGCAAACA
rnacentral:rRNA from 1 species